UCCCUCGUGGUCCAGUGGCUAAGACUCUGAGCUCCCAACGCAGGGGUCCUGGGUUUGAAUCCUGGUCAGGGAC
rnacentral:tRNA from 1 species